rnacentral:rRNA from 1 species
UACGAAUGGGGCAAGCGUUGUUCGGAAUCACUGGGCUUAAAGCGUGCGCAGGCGGAUAUGAAAGUCAGAAGUGAAAUCCUUGGGCUCAACCCAAGAAUUGCUUUUGAAACUUCAUAUCUUGAAUCCGGUAGAGGUUGGGAGAAUUCCUAGUGUAGAGGUGAAAUUCGCAGAUAUUAGGAGGAAUACCAGUGGCGUAGGCGCCCAACUGGACCGGUAUUGACGCUCAGGCACGAAAGCGUGGGGAGCAAACAGG